GUUUCUCUCCUGUAAUGCAAAAUGCAACUCAUAGCAUGUGCCUUCUUGAUGAUGCCCUUAAGAACUGAGGUUUAGGAAUGUGAUGCAAAUGCUCAUACUGUAGAUACUUCGAUAUCGGCAAUAGCUUUGAGGAAUAGACUGAACGUUGUCUCUGAGGCAGGAGUCUCACAUUUCUCAUCAGUCUCCAUGAAACUAUGGCUGCCUUUCUUGUUAGCUUUCAUAUAUGGUAAAAUUUCAGACCCUUCUAAGUCCUUGAUAGUUUUGAUGAUGAGCAUGGGAUGCUGAAAGAGACAUGAGUUUUUGGAAGAGGAAGAAUGAGAUCCUUAUGGCUGAUUUAAGGCAAUGCCAUGUGUUGAUAGCAGACAUUUGACCAAACUAUAUGGUCAACAGGACAAUUAAUAAUCUUCUACUUUAAUGGGUGUUAAUGAGGAUGAAUUUGGGAGGGUGUUGCAGCCUGAGAACUCAGAAGUAAAUUCAAAGGCAGCUGUCUGAAUGGUGCCCUGAUUGUAUCUAAUUCUCCUCUGGGCAGGAAGACUAUCUUUUCAAUCUGGUGGUCAGGCUCAGGUCCACCCUAUGGUAACAAGUAUUAUUAAAAUUUGCCCUGGGGAGACCAGAAGGUUCUUACUUCUGUGUGAUAAUAUUUAUAGAAAAACUACUACUGAGUGUCAAGGAGGAAAAUUUGAAACCACAUAGACAGAAACCAGGCAAAUGGCUAGCACUUGCUUGAUUUACUCAAGAGAUGAGGGGUAGGUUAUAUAAUGCUUGUUUAAAAAGAAUGGCAACCAAAAUGCCAUCAUAUGACUUUGUGCCUCCUGCAGUCUAUCAUCUGAAUCUUAGACCCGUUUAGAGAUGAAAAUAAAGUCUUCUGACUUUUCUUUCUUUUUUUAAAAAAAUUAUUCAUGGUUGUUAUAAGAGAUUCUUGAGCUUCUUUGAGAUUUUUUGGAGACAAACUCCUGUGGCAAAUCAUCGAUGAGGGAUUAACAAGUACUUGAGGUUUUCCUGAUCCAAAUUGGGUUUAUGAUGCUGAUGAAGGUGAUCCACUGAAGAAUGAGAAACUAAACCAAAUUCUUAGAUCAAUUUUAUGGUUAGUGCUGCAGCCCUGGAACACUCCCCUAUUUUUUAUAUUGAAACUUGAAAGAAUUUAAGAGAAUGUUAUUUUGGUAGUGGUGCUUGCAGACGCUCCAGAUUUAGGUGAAUUCCUUAAAAAAGUUGUUGCUGUGUCAGGCUUGAGUUGGGCAAAGGGCAUAACCCUUGCACCCCCAGUGAGAAUGCGAUGUGGUUGUGGGUGUUAUGUUAUAUCCAGGGGUCUCUAAUACUGAAAUUGAUGCUGCUAGCCAUAAGAAUCUUGCCAAUUGAUACAGAAUUUUGGUCAGAAUGAGAACAUUAGAAGUUCAUUUGGUUGAGUCAUGAGCUAUGAGCUGUGCUACCCCACUUUUUCCCUUUGCAUCUUUUCAUAAAGCCCCUAUGUCACUUCUUGCCACCUCCUGCCUCCUCUGUAGCUUCAUUAUGGAGAAAGAUGAAUAGGGGUGAGGCUGAGGUCUCCCCAUCCUUAAGAGGGAUCAAAGGACAUAUUCACCUAGUUAAGUAUGCUAGAGAACUUCAGGGAGAAAGACUCAAACUCGUAUGACCUUAUUGGAUGCAGGCGUCCAUGUCAUUAUUCUACCUGGUCUUGAGUCGGGAAGGAAGCCCAGGUUCAACUUAUCUGACUGGGCAAAGUUUACAGUGGGGUAAGAGACACUAAUGUAAGUUUGUAGUUGGUAGGGCCCUUUGGAACAAUUCAAUGUACUGCUUUUGUUGCUUCUAUAUUUGAAUAUAUAGUAGAAAUUGAUGUGAAUAUGCUUGUACCUUCCAUUCCAUAAGUACCAAAGGGAAUUCUGAUCAAGAAGAGCUAUCCGUAGGAAAGUAAUAAUACUUUUGGGAUCCCACAAACUGGAUGACCUCCUCAAGCUAUAGUCUCAGUGACUAAUGAUUUUUCCAUCUUGAGCCUCUGGCAAAGGGAGGCAGCUUCCACCUGAGGCACCCUUGGGGCUUUACUUUAGAUGCAUCACUUUCCUUAUAUUGGCACCAUGCACACUCUUUUUGAAAGCACCUGUUGGCUUGCUACUGUGCUUUUAUUGAAACUGAAGGCCUGAACCUUGGAGGGCUUUUGACUCUCUAUCCUGAUAUUCCAAUUUUGGGGUGAGUGAACUCAGGAUCAACAACUAUUAAGGUGAGAAGGGUUUCACAAGUCUCAUUUGUCUAAAGGAAAUGAUAUUUUCAGGACUGCAGUCAGUCCAGAUAACAUCUUGGCUUCAUGUGAAAAAGUGGCAGCUAUCCCUUUGUGGGAUGGGCCCUCAGCUGUUCAGCCUGAGCACCAGCUGUAAUAGAACUGAGAAUGGACAUAAAUAUUCUGCACAGUGGGCAGAACUCAAGGCUUUUCUCUUGCCUCUGGAUGAUACUCCCCUUGACUAACCUUAUAUAUUUACCGACUGUAGGUUGUAACCAAUGUCCUAGCUGCUGGUGUGGAAAAAUUAUGGCUGGCAAAUUCAAGACACACCUCUUUGGGCCUGGGAAAUUAUGGAAACAAAUUGUAGCUGCUGAUGAAACUGUCUGGGUCACUCUCUAGGUGCCCAUGAUAUGGGCUCAUUCUCUGAUAUGAACAGCUGGAAUUACACUAUUGAUCAAGUUUGCUCUGCCCAGAUUGCUGUCAGUGCUUCCUGGUUCCAUCCUUACCCUGGGCAUGGCAACACAUUCACCAUCACAGAUUGGGCACAAAGUAAAGGACUCUAUGUUUCUGAUGCAGAGGACAUUUCUGCAUAGAAGACUUGCAACUCCUGCCAAAAGUUAACCCAUUUGUCCUCCAGAAAUGGAAGACACAUCACAUGGGAUUGGAGCCCUCACCCAUUUCUGGCAGGCUGCCUACAUCUUGGAGGUAUAUAAUAUUGCCUCCCUUCCAUUAACACUUUUUCAGAUUAUGAAAUUGCUUUUCCUGUCUGAUUAGCUGACUCUGGCCCCACUAUUGGGACCUUUGAAAGUAUUUUGUGUUAUAUAUUAAUAUGUGUUUUUCUAGACCAUUUGAAGUCUGACAGUGAUGUGCUUUUCAUCACAAAAGCUACUCAGCAAUAGGCUGAUAGUCAAGGUAUAGUGAACUCUGCUAUUAAAGAAUGAAAACAGUCAGAGACAAUACAUACAUGAAUGGCUGUGUUUUAAUAAAACUUUUUAAAGAAUUGACGGCCCGCAGGAUUUGACCGCUAUUGUUCAGAUUAAUCAUCAUAACUGAUGGAGUGUUGUACUCAUGUGAAAAAUUUUCAGAGGCUAAGAAAAUGUAACAAUGAGAGGUGGUUAUAGUUUCAAGACAAUUCUCAAAAGGUCUCUUGUGCUUCUGCAAAUAGAGGCUGAUUUUUUUUCUGGACUAUUUAAGGAUAUUUGUAUAAAAAUAGCCUUGAAAAAUAGAGAUAAUAUUUUUCUCUGGAGUAAAGGACAUAUUAGCUUACCGUCCAGUAUAACGAAAUUAGUAUCCCUUCUACAGAAAGAUCAGGUCGGCUCACUGUCUGUAAUAAAAUAUUUCUACUCUCUAAGUUUAGGGUUCUUCUUUUGUAACAUCCCAUUGCAUGUGCUAGCAUCAUUGGCCCUCUUUGCAUUACUCUUGGGGACAUGUUGCAAAUGUUGAUACUCUAGCUAUUGCUAUUGCCGUGAGAAAUAAUCUAUUUUUUGUCUCUAAUGAGCUAAUUUGUUAGCUUGCAACUAGGGUAAAAUCUGACACUUCAUGGUUCUUGACAUUUGUCAUAAACAAACUUAAAAAAAGACUACAUCCUAACAUUUUAUGUGUUUUUAUUUAUCUUUUUUUGAUUGGCACUAUAAGCUUUUUAAAAACUAGCUAUUAAGGAAAAUAAUAAUGUGUUCUGAUCAGAUCAGACUUCUCAAAGUAGUUGUGUUUUAAUGAGGACAAGAGGUAGAAAUGGAAUAUUUGAAAUGUGAUUGUAUAGAAAGAACACAGGACUAGAAGGCAACUGGCUUGGGGUUGAAACUGAGUUCUGUUACAAACUGGGUGUGUGAUCUUGAAGAGUUCAGACCAAUGGACUAAGCUUCAGGGAUCUCAUCUUUAAAACAAGAGGGUUAGGAGAGAUUAUUUCUGUGGCCCUUUCUAUCGUGAGAUUGAAUUAUUCUUUGUGAAAAAGUUUUUUUCCUGGGGAAGUUUUUCUUACAACAUAGGUUUGAGAAGUCAGAAUCUUUACAUAUUAAAAGAGAUUGCUUUUGUCCAUAUCAUCUCCUGCAUCUCUUUCUUUCCUCCCCAAAUAUGUGUCAACCAAGAAGUUUUUCUGUCAAUAUGCAAAAUAUGGAAAGUAUAAGCUCUUUCUUUUCUUUAUGUUUUUUGUGUCAUAAAUUAGGCUUUGUGAAAGUGCUCAGUUACCAUGGUGAUACCCACUAAAUAAAUGUAAAGGAAAAGAAUUCUCCAUUUUAAAUAUAAAUUGUGCAUUCAUAACACAUCACAUAUGCACUAUAUAAUAAUUGGCUUCUUCAGCAUCAGAAGUACCUGACAAUAACGCCAAAUUUAUCAUAGUAUCUUUCUUAAAGAGAACAAGAACUAAUGAUAAGGAAUAGUUUGAGAUAUGUGGUGGAAUAUGUACAGAUUUUAAAAAAGAUGUCUGUGAAUUUAAGCAAUCUGAACUAUAUAGUGGUCAGAAAAUGUAUGGUGUAUACUAUCUAAAAGGUCUUAUUUCAAGUCCUGUAUUUCUUGCCCAAAACAUAUCUAAAAAUAUUUGCUUUAGUUAUUCCUUUAGAUAGUAUGACUUAUGAGAAGAGAUUCAAUUUCCCCUUUGAAAAGACAAGUGAAUAGAAAUCAAAAUAGUUCAAAAAGUAUAUAUGAAUUUAGGAUGUUGUUCAAUAUUUUCUAUAAAAUGUGUUGAAUCUGGUAUAGCUUAAAAUAGCAUUAGAAGUAACCAAUUACAGACCUCAUAAUAGCCUAAAUUAUUUUCUAUUUCAUUGUAUGGGAAUGAAUUACGUGACUUAGUAAGCUAUUAGAGGACUAGUAAUGGUGUCCUGAACUGGUUUUUACAUUUCAGUAAACAAGAGAAAAAAUUAGUUUCACUUAAGCUAUAAUAUUGGUAGAAUACAAAGAAUAUUAUUUAGAAGUAAGAAUAUCUAAAGUUUGUUCAAAUAAAAUUAGCUAUAACCAGGCACUGUAUAACAAUAUUUCAGUCAAUGAUGGACUGUGUAUAUGAUGGUAGUCCUAUAAAAUUAUAAUGGAACUGAAAAAUUCCUAUUGCCUAGUGACACAGUAGCUGUAGUGACAUCAUAGUGCAAGACAUUACUCACAUGUUUGUGGUGAUGCUGGUGUAAACAAACCUACUGUGCUGCCAGGCAUACAAGAGUAUAGCAUAUACAAUUAUCGUAUAGGACAUAAUACUUGAUAAUGACCAUAAAAUACUAUUAAUAAGUUACUGGUAUAUGUGCUAUACCAUACUUUUAAUUGUUAGUUUACAGCAUGCUCUUUUAUCUAUAUCUAUAUCUAUAUAUAGACAUAUAGAUAUAGAGAUAUAGAUAUAUAGAUAAUAUGCUGUAAAACAGCUUCAGGCAGGUCCUGCAGGAGGUAUUCCAGAAGAAGGCAUAGGAGAUGACAGCUUUACGUAUGUUAUUGUACCUGAUGAGUUUCCAGUGGAAUAAGAUGUGGAGUUGGAAGAGAGUGAUACUGAUGAUCACGACCCUGUCUUCCAGUGGUGCAAGCCCCAUUCAUGUUUAUUAGAUUGCUACUGGUGUGCAAUUCAGAAGAGAAGAAGGCUUGGAGACAGAACAGUGAAAAAUGGAGAGUUGGAUCAACACCAAGUUGGAGACAGGAACUUUGUAACACCUGACACAGAGUGGAAAUUCAAUAACAGUUGAAUGAAGGUUAAAUGAACCACAUCUGUAUGCAAUUUGUAAUUUGGUGUGUUAUUUAUAGGGACUACCUACUGUUUAAACAAAGGCAGUUCUUUCCAUUCUAUGCCUUUGGUUUUUCCCAGUUAAUAGUUUUGUUGACCAGUUUAAGUACCAAGGUAAACAGACAAUCAGACAAUCAUCUUAGGCAUUAUUAAAGAAUAAUACCUGAGCCAGGUGUAUGCAGCCAAUAAUUGUAGCCAGCAAGCAUGGCUUCAGCUAAAUAUCUAGAUAAGCAACCACUCUUGAAAAAAAGAACCCAAAUGGCUUAUUUAUUCCUUUUGAUGGUCAGGCUUUCUAGUUUCUAU
rnacentral:lncRNA from 1 species